rnacentral:rRNA from 1 species
CAGGGUUUGACAUCCUGAGACCGCUAGAGAGAUCUAGUUUUCCCGCAAGGGACUCAGAGACAGGUGCUGCAUGGCUGUCGUCAGCUCGUGUCGUGAGAUGUUGGGUUAAGUCCCGCAACGAGCGCAACCCUCGCCUUUAGUUGCCAUCAUUAAGUUGGGCACUCUAGAGGGACCGCCGGCGACAAGCCGGAGGAAGGUGGGGAUGACGUCAAGUCCUCAUGGCCCUUACACCCUGGGCUACACACGUGCUACAAUGGCGGUGACAAUGGGCAGCUAGCUCGCGAGAGUAAGCUAAUCCCAAAAAACCGUCCCAGUUCAGAUUGCAGUCUGCAACUCGACUGCAUGAAGGUGGAAUCGCUAGUAAUCGCAGAACAGCAGGCUGCGGUGAAUACGUUCCC